GACGAACGCUGGCGGCGUGCUUAACACAUGCAAGUCGAACGGAAAGGCCUCUUUCGGGGGGUACUCGAGUGGCGAACGGGUGAGUAACACGUGAGUAACCUGCCCUUGACUUUGGGAUAACUUCAGGAAACUGGGGCUAAUACCGGAUAGGAGCUCCUGCUGCAUGGUGGGGGUUGGAAAGUUUCGGCGGGUGGGGAUGGACUCGCGGCUUAUCAGCUUGUUGGGGGGGUAGUGGCUUACCAAGGCGUUGACGGGUAGCCGGCCUGGGAGGGUGACCGGCCACAUUGGGACUGAGAUACGGCCCAGACUCCUACGGGAGGCAGCAGUGGGGAAUAUUGCACAAUGGGUGGAAGCCUGAUGCAGCAACGCCGGGUGCGGGAUGACGGCCUUCGGGUUGUAAACCGCUUUCGCUCAUGACGAAGCUUUGUGUGACGGUAGUGGGUAAAGAAGCACCGGCUAACUACGUG
rnacentral:rRNA from 1 species